rnacentral:rRNA from 1 species
AUUGAACGCUGGCGGCAGGCCUAACACAUGCAAGUCGAACGGUAGCACAGGAGAGCUUGCUCUCUGGGUGACGAGUGGCGGACGGGUGAGUAAUGCAUGGGGAGCUGCCCAAUCGAGGGGGAUACCAGCUUGGAAACGACUGCUAAUACCGCAUACGCCCUGAGGGGGAAAGGUGGGGACCUUCGGGCCUACCGCGAUUGGAUGCACCCAUGUGGGAUUAGCUAGUUGGUGAGGUAACGGCUCACCAAGGCGACGAUCUCUAGCUGGUCUGAGAGGAUGACCAGCCACACUGGAACUGAGACACGGUCCAGACUCCUACGGGAGGCAGCAGUGGGGAAUAUUGCACAAUGGGGGAAACCCUGAUGCAGCCAUGCCGCGUGUGUGAAGAAGGCCUC